AUUGAACGCUGGCGGCAGGCUUAACACAUGCAAGUCGAGCGGGGGAAGGUAGCUUGCUACCGGACCUAGCGGCGGACGGGUGAGUAAUACUUAGGAAUCUGCCUAUUAGUGGGGGACAACAUCUCGAAAGGGAUGCUAAUACCGCAUACGUCCUACGAGAGAAAGCGGGGGAUCUUCGGACCUUGCGCUAAUAGAUGAGCCUAAGUCGGAUUAGCUAGUUGGUGGGGUAGAGGCCUACCAAGGCGACGAUCUGUAGCGGGUCUGAGAGGAUGAUCCGCCACACUGGGACUGAGACACGGCCCAGACUCCUACGGGAGGCAGCAGUGGGGAAUAUUGGACAAUGGGGGGAACCCUGAUCCAGCCAUGCCGCGUGUGUGAAGAAGGCCUUAUGGUUGUAAAGCACUUUAAGCGAGGAGGAGGCUACUCUAGUUAAUACCUAGGGAUAGUGGACGUUACUCGCAGAAUAAGCACCGGCUAACUCUGGGCCAGCAGCCGCGGUAA
rnacentral:rRNA from 1 species